UCCCCACUGAUCAGGGACCCUGGAUCAUGACCUGAGCUGAAUGCAGACACUUAACAACUGAGCCAUCCAGGUGCCGCAUCCCAGAUAAUUUUUAACUGAUAAAUUGUGAUACAUGUAUAACUCAUGGUCUACCACUCAGCAGUAUGAAGGUAUGAACUACUACUAUUAGAUACAACAUUGAUGAAUCUCAAAAACAUGCUGGUCAAAAGCCAGAUGCAAACAAACUCUUAUGGUUCCAUUUAUAUGAACUUCUAGAAGAGACACCAUAAAUCUAUAGUGACAGAAAGCAAAUUAGUGGUAGCCUAGGGAAGAAUGGAAGGGUAUUAAAUUCAAAGAACGAGAGAAUUUUCUGUGAUGAAAAUGUUCUAAAUCUCAACUGGCAUGGCAGUGACAUGGUAUAUGUUUUGCCAAAACUCACUGAAUUAUACAAAUAAGACACAUGCAUUUUAUUGUAUAUAAAAUAAUUUCAAUGAAGUUAAUUUUUAAAAAUUAGAGAACUCUCAUUAGAAAAUCAAGCAUACUGUAAAAUGCUAAAACAUUUUGGUACUGAGUAAGUUCUUCCUUUAAAAAAUACGUAUAGUUGGUAUCUUUCUAGACCUUACUCAAUUUGGGACAGCUAAUUCAAAAUAAUGGGAUAAAUAAUCCCGUGAGAACACUACCUGCCUGAGACCACCAACCCAAAGUUACCUAACAUGUUUCUGAAUGGUAUAUAGCCCUUGCAUGAUACUGAAUCCUUGGAGAAGAAAAACGACAAAAUAAGUGUGCCUAGUAGAAAACAGAAAAAUUAGGCUGAACAAAUAGGAGGAAGUACACUCCGGUCCAUCCUUUUCCUUAAACAACCAUGGUAUCUCUGGUCUACCAAAGUUUCACAGAGCAUUAGUUUCGUUUUCUUCAUUGUAAUCCCCCUCAAGAACAGCCAGUGAUCAUGCCUCUUUUUUUUUUUUUUUUUUUUGGUAUCCUCCCAAGUGCCAAGAACAGCAGAUGCUCUGACUCCACUAAUUUAUGAGCUUACGACUGUGUUGGAAACAUGAAAAAGGGGUGAACACUACGUUAACCGGCGGACCUAUUUAGCCUGAACAAGGCAACCAGAAUUAUGCUCAUCACUGAGGAUGGGAAAAUCCUUGACUGUGAAUAGCGUUAAGAAGACACUGAAAUGUAAAACCUCCACAUACAGAUUGAGUAAGAAAUAUAAGUAGACCGAGAAUGGAAAAAGAUCUAUCUUGGGAAGGAAGAAAGAAGAUCAUGUGAGAAGACAAAAGGGAGAAGACAAACAGAACAUAAAUUUCAACCACAGAAAAGCAAGAGCUCCCAACUCUGAUGCCCCACAUAUGCAGAAUAUCUGCAGAGAAAAGUGGGUAAUUCCUAAGAAUCUGCAGAGAACUUUUUUCUGGGGUGUAGAGGGCAGGGGGUUACAUAAUCCCUAUUGGAAAUAACACAAAACCAUGUGAAAAAGAUUAAGGAUGUUUUAAGGAAUGCCAAAGGUAACCAUACAUUUGGGAUGGCUACAGGAAAUACGUGGAGAACAACAAGAGAAGGCCCCUGCUUUGGAGAGCUGCCACAGUCCAGCCAGAGGCAACAACAGCAAUUUUGGGAAAAGUGAUAUGGCAGAAAGAAUAAUCAGUUUGAAAGCUCAAGCUGAUGUAGCUUUUAAGCACUGUGACAUGUUAGGUCAUGACUGUUUCAUGUUUACUUUCAAUGGAACAGUACAACACUGUAAUAACUUUACCUUUGGAUUCUUGCCCUCCUUGGCCAAUAACGCCCGAAGUCUUUCUUGUGAAGGGGGUGCAAUGAAGAUAAUAUAUGGUUUCAAGUCUGAAUUGCGGAGAGCCUUCAAGGACUAUUAAAAAAAAAA